rnacentral:rRNA from 1 species
UACGGGGGGGGCAAGGCGUUGUUCGGAAUUACUGGGCGUAAAGGGCUCGUAGGCGGCCAACUAAGUCGGAUGUGAAAUCCCCAGGCUCAACUUGGGAACUGCAUCCGAUACUGGAUGGCUUGAAUUCGGGAGAGGGAUGCAGAAUUCCAGGUGUAGCGGUGAAAUGCGCAGAUAUCAGGAAGAACACCCGUGGCGAAGGCGGCUCUCUGGGACGGUACUGACGCUGAGACGCGAAAGCGUGGGGAGCGAACAGG